rnacentral:rRNA from 1 species
AUUGAACGCUGGCGGCAGGCCUAACACAUGCAAGUCGAGCGGGGUUUUCGGACCUAGCGGCGGACGGGUGAGUAAUGCGUAGGAAGCUACCCGAUAGAGGGGGAUACCAGUUGGAAACGACUGUUAAUACCGCAUAAUGUCUACGGACCAAAGUGUGGGCCCUUCGGGCCACAUGCUAUCGGAUGCGCCUACGUGGGAUUAGCUAGUUGGUGAGGUAAUGGCUCACCAAGGCGACGAUCUCUAGCUGGUUUGAGAGGAUGAUCAGCCACACUGGAACUGAGACACGGUCCAGACUCCUACGGGAGGCAGCAGUGGGGAAUAUUGGACAAUGGGCGCAAGCCUGAUCCAGCCAUGCCGCGUGUGUGAAGAAGGCCUUCGGGUUGUAAAGCACUUUCAGUAGGGAGGAAGGGUUAAGUGUUAAUAGUACUUAACUUUGACGUUACCUACAGAAGAAGCACCGGCUAACUCUGUGCCAGCAGCCGCCGUAA